rnacentral:siRNA from 1 species
GACAAAUACAGAUUUUGGGCCUA